rnacentral:lncRNA from 1 species
UUACAAACUGAAAAUACAUUAAUAAACCUGCUAAUAUAAGUUAAGUGCUGGAGAAGCACUAAUGCUGGGGGUGAAAAUCCACAGUUGUGCAACACAUCCUCCAGAACUGCUCUUCUGCAUAAUCUUAUCUCAAACCUCAAUCUCAAACUGACUAAACCAGCUACACCACGUCUGCAGAACGUCCUCAGAACAUCUUUAACAGCUAGGAACAGAAGAGGAACGGGACUCAGAGCUCCAUCAGUGAACGUUGAAGAUCCUCUCUGAGAUGUCCUCUUCUGAGAAGACGGAGGACGUCUACCAGACCCUCCACCAUCCUCUAGUGGUGAAGAACCUCCACUCAGAACCCGGUGAGACCCAUUAAUGUAUUUAAUUUACCGUAUUUUACAUUAGCAUUAGCCGCUAACCUCGCU